UACGUAGGGUCCGAGCGUUGUCCGGAAUCAUUGGGCGUAAAGAGCGUGUAGGCGGCCUUUUAAGUCCUGCGUGAAAUCCUGCGGCUCAACCGCAGACGGUCGUGGGAAACUGGAAGGCUAGAGUGCGGGAGAGGAGAGUGGAAUUCCCGGUGUAGCGGUGAAAUGCGCAGAUAUCGGGAAGAACACCCGUGGCGAAGGCGGCUCUCUGGAACGCAACUGACGCUGAGACGCGAAAGCGUGGGGAGCAAACAGG
rnacentral:rRNA from 1 species